AGCGGCUGUAAAUAGUAGUAUAUUAGCUAUGACAACUGGCAAAUAGCUAUGCUGUCCCUAUGUCAUGGCUGCUUCUGUGGGUACCAUUGUGACCCCAGCAUGAGUCAAGAUGAUUAUCAGAAUGUCUAGCAGAUUACCCAGGCCUUGCACCUGGAUCAAUGGGCUGCCCUAAUGAAGGAUAUCAAAAAUGAAGGGGCAGCUAAAGAAAAAUAAAAGACACCUCAGAAAGUAGCCUGCCUCUUUGACAAGGGACAUGCCUUCAGAGGAACAUAACAGAAACCUCUGAGAAUUGUCAACAAUAAAAAGACUGAGCAACAAGGGAAACUGGUAGGAAGCCAAAGGUUUUAAGAGGUGAGAGUGGAGAAAUGCUGUGCUUUUAUUGAUCCUCUCCAAAGGAACACCUUUAAAAAAGCCUCAUCAGUGUGAAGAUUAUUGAUGCCAGCAAGUGAAUUAAAGGAAUUAAAGUCAGAAUUCCCCCCAAAACUAUAUCUAUUUCAUUACAGAAAGUAGUGGUAAUUACUAUAAUCCAUCUUUGGUAAUGCAAAUACACUUUCUGAAAAUUGCGAAGAAAAUGAAGAUUAAGAUUUAUAUCAAAAAUCUACAGAAAAGG
rnacentral:lncRNA from 1 species